rfam:Bacillus sp. FJAT-27916 Scaffold1, whole genome shotgun sequence.
AACUUAUCGAGAGUGGCGGAGGGACUGGCCCGUUGAAGCCCGGCAACCGGUAUCACUAAAUGUGAUGCACGGUGCUAAAUCCUGCGGAAUCAUAUUCCGGGAGAUAAGGC